UGUCAAGGGAUGGGAAUCGAACCCACGACCUUCCGUUUACCGGGCAGAUGCCAUGACCACUAGGCUACCCUGGAC
rnacentral:tRNA from 1 species